UGGGGAAUAUUGCACAAUGGGCGGAAGCCUGAUGCAGCAACGCCGCGUGAGUGAUGAAGGCCUUCGGGUUGUAAAGCUCUGUCUUUUGGGACGAUAAUGACGGUACCAAAGGAGGAAGCCACGGCUAACUACGUGCCAGCAGCCGCGGUAAUACGUAGGUGGCAAGCGUUGUCCGGAUUUACUGGGCGUAAAGGAUGCGUAGGCGGAUUUUUAAGUGAGAUGUGAAAACCCUAAGCUUAACUUGGGGACUGCAUUUCAUACUGGAAAUCUAGAGUGCGGGAGAGGAGAAUGGAAUUCCAGGUGUAGCGGUGAAAUGCGUAGAGAUUAGGAAGAACACCAGUGGCGAAGGCGAUUCUCUGGACCGUAACUGACGCUGAGGCAUGAAAGCGUGGGUAGCAAACAGGAUUAGAUACCCUGGUAGUCCACGCCGUAAACGAUGAGUACUAGGUGUAGGAGGUAUCGACCCCUUCUGUGCCGCAGUUAACACAAUAAGUACUCCGCCUGGGAAGUACGAUCGCAAGAUUAAAACUCAAAUGAAUUGACGGGGUC
rnacentral:rRNA from 1 species